GGUUUAAAUCUGUUAUAGAAAUUACUAGGAUUUGUUUAAGGUUUGAUUUAGGAUUAGGAUUAGGAUUUGGUUAGGAUUUGAUUUAGGAUUAGGAUUUGAUUAGGAUUUGGUUAGGAUUUUAUUUAGGAUUAGAGUUUGGUUUAGGAUUUAGGAUUUGGUUAGGAUUUGGUUUAGGAUUUGAUUUAGGAUUAAGAUUUAAUUUAGGGUUUAAGAUUUGAUUUAGGAUUAAGGUUUGAUUUAGGAUUAAGGUUUGAUUUAGGAUUUAGGGUUUAGAAUUUGGUUAGAGUUUGAUUUAUGAUUAGGAUUUGGUUAGAGUUUGAUUUGUGAUUAGGGUUUGAUUUAGGGUUUAAGAUUUGAUUUAGGAUUUAGAGUUUGAUUUAGGAUUUAAGGUUUGGUUAGGAUUUGAUCAAGAUUUGAUUUAGGAUUUAAGGUUUGGUUAGGAUUUGAUCAGGAUUUGAUUUAGGAUUAGGAUUUGGUUAGGGUUUGAUUUAAGAUUAAGAUUUGGUUUAGGAUUUAAAAUUUGAUUAGGAUUUGGUUAAGGACUUAGGAUUUGGUUUAGGAUUUGAUUUAGGAUUUAAGGUUGAUUAGGAUUUGAUUUAGGAUUUAGGAUUUAAUUAGGGUUUGAUUUAGGAUUUGAUUAGAAUUUAGUUUAGGAUUUAGGAUUUUAUUAGGAUUUAAGAUUUAAUUAAUUUUUGGCCUAAAGUUUGAAUGAAGUCCAAUAGGAUUUUAAGUAGGAUUAAAUUAAGAUUGAAUUGAGAUGUAUUUGAGAUAUCUUUGUGAUCAUUCUAAUAUUUCUUUAAGAUUUCUUAUUGUUUCUUUGUAAUUCCUUUGAGGUUUCUUUGAAUUUGAUUAAAGCUUGCUUAGCAUUGUUAUGGUCUAAUUAGACUUUAGUUAAUAUUCUAUUAUAGUUAGGAUUUUAUUGUUACAAUUUCCAUUCUUUCUUCUACA
rnacentral:lncRNA from 1 species